rnacentral:lncRNA from 1 species
GGUAAGGAAUUGACAAGGAAAGGGGCUUAUGAGAAGACUCCUGAUGGUAGAGUCUUUGAAGAUCACUCUGAGAGCUUUUGGACACGGGGGCAAGGGUUGUCUUCACAAACCCAGCUAGGACUAUUUGAGCCUACUAGCUAGGACAAACCGGUCAGACCGGUUCAUUAGGCCGGUCAGACCGGUCAAAGACAGGUCCACCCCCGAAUGUUGAAAUCGAGGUGUCCAUAGAUCGGGACAUGGAAGCUAAACUUGACCAAGGACAAAGGAACAUAUGCAAAUCAGAAUCCCACUUUUGAUCAACUUUUGGCCAAGUAUUCCAAACAAAAGGCUGGUACGGGUGAUCGGCCAUUAGAAAAAAGGACAAGGUCUCCUACGCGCCAAGAGAGGC